ACAGGAUAUCUAUAUUGGGAUGAUGAAGAUAGUCGAAACGCGAACAAGCGAAGCGGAACUCUUCCAGAUGGUGUGUAUAAUCACAACACCAAGAUACAUUUUUGCUGCCGAAAUGAUCCACCACACACUGGCCUCAUCAGGUCUCGUACGAAAAUCAACCGUCUCAAUGGUCUUCCCAAAUGUUCAGAAAUUAUGGUGAUGCGAUACAAAGGAACAUGCCCUUCACGCGGACGAGGUUACCAAGGACCUCAUACUGGAUAUCUGCAAUGGGAUACUGAAGACAGCAACAACCGAGACGCUUGUAUUGGAGCAUUUCCUGACGGUCAAAAAACCUUCGGAACUGGAAUUAAAAUCGAGUUUUGUUCUUACACUACACCUGGUUUGGGUGAAAGAGAGCCUGCAAGCCAGAUCCCUAUGACUACAUUCCCCCUUCGAUUUGGACGUCACAGGUCAAUUAAUAACAUAUCAGCGCAGACCGGAAAUACACUUCAAUGUUGUAAACAUAAACCGAUAAACGUUGAACUCCUUUUAUAUUGUAUUCUGUCAUUUAUAGUUUCGUAUACAGACCGCCACUGGGGCAUACUAAAAAAUUUAAAACGGCUCGAGGUUUUUUU